rnacentral:ncRNA from 1 species
UGGAACAAAUCAGGACGCUUAGAAGUAUGGCCACAUGAAUGACUCAGCGCAGUAUGAAGUCUUUGUUUUCUUCCGAAAACAAGCUCAAUGAGAGCCAUCGGGGGUAGAUCUAUCUCAUGACGAGUGGUGGAAUACUUUGACUCAUGAGAGAGAAGCUGAGGCGAAGGCGUCUACCUAGAGGGUUUCUGUCGAUCAAGGGCGAGAGUAGGAGUAUCCAACAGGAUUAGAGACCCUGGUAGUUCCUACCUUAAACGAUGCCGACAGGAGUUUGUCAUUUGUUAAUGGCAGAAUCUUUGGAGAAAUCAUAGUUCUUGGGCUCUGGGGGAACUACGACCGCAAGGCUGAAACUUGAAGGAAUUGACGGAAGGGCACACCAGGGGUGGAGCCUGUGGCUUAAUUUGAAUCAACACGGGGAAACUUACCAGGACCAGAUGUUUUUUAUGACUGACAGGCUUCGGGUCUUUCAGGAUAUUGUUUUUGGUGGUGCAUGGCCGUUGGUGGUGCGUGGGUUGACCUGUCUAGCGUUGAUUCAGCUAACGAGCGAGAUUAUCGCCAAUUAUUUACUUUGCCGAAGUCCUUCGGUUAAAGUUCUAAUUGGGACUCCCUGCGAUUUUAGCAGGUGGAAGAGGGUAGCAAUAACAGGUCCGUGAUGCCCUUUAGAUGCUCUGGGCUGCACGCGUGCUACAAUGUUAGGAUCAAUAGGACUGCGAGCCUGAGAGGGUGCGCUACUCUUAUAAUCCCUAACGUAGUUGGGAUUGACGUUUGUAAUCAGCGUCAUGAACCAGGAAUCCCUUGUAAAUGUGUGUCAACAACGCACGUUGAAUACGUCCCUGCCCUUUGUACACACCGCCCGUCGCUCCUACCGAUUGGAUGACUCGGUGAAAUCACCGGAUGCUUACGAGCAGAAAGUGAUUAAAUCACGUUAUCUAGAGGAAGGAGAAGUCGUAACAAGGUAACGGUAGGUGAACCUGCCGUUGGAUCAGUU